rnacentral:misc_RNA from 2 species
AAGUCGUAACAAGGUUUCCGUAGGUGAACCUGCGGAAGGAUCAUUACAACAAGGUUCCCUGGCCCUCGAAGCUUCGGCGGAGGGGUGCUACAGCCUGACUUUAUACCCACCCUUUGCCUAUGUGUACCCCUAUUGCUUCCCUCGGCGGGUUCGCCCGCCGACAGGAACCAACUAAACCCUUUGCAUUAUACAUUUAACACUUCCGAUACAAAACUAAAUUAUUACAACUUUUAACAAUGGAUCUCUUGGUUCUG